UUGUGCAUCUGGCUUACGUGGGACCUAGAGAAUCGAACGUGGGUCCUCAGGCUUCUCAGUCAAGCGCCUUAACCGCUCAGCCAUCUCUCCAGUCCCAGAUGUAAUCUGACACUCCCAUUUUUGUCUUUGAGACUAAGAGGCCAGGCCCAAUGGAGGAGGUGAACGCUCUACCUACAGCUCUCUUCCACCUCCUACAACACUCGCUCCUUGGAGGAGACUGCCACCCAGCCUCGCCUGUUCCUCAUGCAGGGGCGCCCCAUCUUCGGAUCUCCCAGGCACUUGCUUUCUUGGAGCGGCCCCCUCACACCAGCUCCUCCAGCCCACAACUGGCACCUCACACCUGCCUUGACCAAGCUUGAGGGUUUGCUUAACCGUCUUCGCCCCAGGGCUCCCCAGCUCAGGAAACGAUACCGCCGCCCAUCUGCUCAAAGCCGGAGUCGUCUUUGAUUUCUCUCCACCUACGCGGUUACCCACAUCAGUGUCGGCUCUGCUUUAUCAGCUCGACUGACUCUCUUGCGCACCCCAGAGAGCCCUCCGGCCUCACACCCUCUUUGGACCAUGUCAAAAUUGUAACUGCAGGGCUGCAGACAUGGUUUAACAGUUAAGGUGCUUGGCUGUGCAGCCUAAGAACCCAGGUUCAAUCCCCCAGAUGCACAAGGGGGCGCAUGUGUCUGGCGUUUGUUUGCAGUGGCUGGAGGCCCUGGUGCACCCAUU